AUAAUUUUAAUUGUUAAAAUUAAUUUGUUACAAAUUAAGUCGAGUGAAUACAAAAGAUUCCGAUCAGUGAAGAAAAUUUAAUGAAAGACGAUCGAUAUAAAUCGGGGAAAACAAUUUUGUGAACGGAAGAGAAAAAUGGAAUUUGCGAGAGUGUUUCUCGUAGAAAAAUAGCAGAACGGCCACGGUAUUACGACAUAACUUCUCGCCAACGGUAUAAACUCCAGCAGAGCCAUUGUCUGUCGCCCGAGGCAACCGUUCAACGAAAAGCGAGCUUCAUUGUCAUGAUUCCGUAACCUAUGAAUGGUUGGCUAUCUCGUUUAACUUCAAUUACCGUGCUUCCCUUUCAUUUCAUUGCUAGUCACUGUCAAGAAGCUGGGACACAACACCAAUGUUCUCUCAUUCUUCUCCUUUUUCCUUCUUUUUCUCCUUUUUUCCCUUUUUAUUCCGUACAUAACCUAAAACCUUUGUUGCGGAAAAACCAUCUCACCGUCAUGUUGGAUUACUCGUUAAAUUUUCCUUUCUAGAAACAUCUCGUUCUACAUCUGAUUCAAUAAUAUAAAAGAGACAGGGAUAACGAUAUUAAUUUGUAUUUUUUUUCAGGUAAAAACGAUCGAAUUUCUUCAAAUCUGAUCGGAAUGUGAUAAAAUUUUCUUCGUCCAUAAUAUAAAAGGAGCAAGAAAAAUAAAUUGACAUAGGAAAGUAAACGAUAUAUGAUGAUGAGAAAGCAGUUCAAAGAAAACAAUAGGAUCCCCCGUUGAAACAUCGAGUAUAUCCGGUUGAAGAUGGGUUGUGGCUGCAGGGGGUCCAAUUUAACGAUGUAGGCAAACGAUCGAGGCGUUAAUUACUUUCUAAUCGUUGCUUGUCGGUAUAAAAAAAAAAAAAAAGAAAAAAAGAAAGGUAAGGAAAGAAAAAUCUAACUUUGUCGAAAGUUAUAUAUUUCUCAUCGUACCUUUUCUCCGUCUAUCGACUGGUCGAUCUCCAUUAUUAUUUUUGUCGAUAUCGAAAUCGACGUAUUACUAUACCGGAUGGAAGAAAGUCAACCUUCGAGAGAUACACAGACCACCUGGAUUUCUUCCUGGGAGGUCGCAAAAACUGGAUGUAUUAAACAACCAUCAAAAAAAUAAAAGAAGCUCAGAGAUCAAAAAAAGGAAUCGCAGGUUUCGGGAGUCGAGGAACAGGCAAUAAUUAAAAGAUAUGCACUUCUUUCCUUUGACACCAGUUUUGUAUAAUAUUUUUUUUUUCAGAUACGUAUGAUGAGAAACGCUUGGAAAUUGUAAUAUUCAUAAAAGUUUGAAAGAAUAAAUGAAUUCUUUAUUUCAAAGGUUGUACAAUGUGAUUUCAAAGAUGUUUAGAUUUUCAGAAAGUAAAAUGGACAAUAGUUAAACAUUAUUGUUUAAAAAAACAUUAUUAUUAUUAUAUUAUAGACAUAAUUAAAUAUAACAAUAUUUUAUUGAUUUAAAAUAAAAAAGAUUUGAUGAAUUUUUGAUGAAGCUUGUCAGGCUGAUCGAAUUUCACUUUUUUUUUAUAGAUCUUCCAUGGUAAAAACGAUUUACCAUGAGGUGAUCCUUCAAGAUCAUUUUCCUACGUCUAUAUACCGGGAAUCCCUUGGCUGUGAGAAAGUCCCAAGGCAGGAAGUGACUAUAAAUAUUUGCCUAGCUAGCCGUUUUUACGAUUACAACGCGAUUCAGGAGGACUGACUGGAGCUCGAUUGUACUCGUGUGACGUAAUGCUCCGUUUUGCACUGUAUUUGGUGUUGGAACAAGUUGAAGAAGGACCAUUUAAAGUUGCGAAAUGACAAAGAAGACUUUAUCACUACUAUUUUUAGAAAUUCCAUGAAUCUAUAAUCUUUUCUUAGUCAUUUUACAUGAUAUUAGUACAAGGUUAAAAAUUUAAAAAAUGAAAAAAUCUCUGUAAUAAUAUCUACUUUGCUAUAUGAGAAAUUGUAAACUCUAAAAUGAGGAAGUCUAGAGUUAAUAAUGUUCAACGAUUUGAGCAAAAUUGCAACUUUAGCUUGGAUGAUACUAUAAAUAAGUACUUUAUAUUAUACCUGUAUUGAGACAUGCUUGCGAAAAUAAUCAACAUUAACUAGUUGAACUAUAAUUAUCCUAUCAAUCUUGUACAUGGCAUGAAGGAAUUAGUCAUGCUUCUGAAACCAUUAAAAACGGACGGAGAGGGAGAAAGAAAUGAUUCACGAUAAACGCGGAGGAUCCAGUUGUACUACGAAGGCAAUAUACUAGAGGGAAGCUAAUAAGCAACCACAUAGAAGUUGGCAAGGCCUAAUAUCAGCCUAAAUAUACACGACGUGAAAGUUCAAAAGGAAGGGUCUUAAAAAGGCUAUGUGGAUUAAAAAAAACCAUAGCCGAGCCUACUGAUCUGUAAAAAAAAUUAUGAAGAUGCUCAUAUUGCAACAAAGCUAAUCUGCUCAAUCUUUAUAGCUUCCAUCAUCAACUCUUCAUCAACGCAAAGAGAACUUGGUCGCAAUUAGAAUAUCACAAAUUGUAUUCGAAGAUAACAGGCUACAAAUGCAUUAAAAACACAACAAUAAUUCAUAGAAAGAAAUUAAAAACUUGCUUCUACAACAAGAGAUUUCUUUUGUUCAAGUUAAAGUAAAGAAAAUUGUAAAGUGAUUCUCUAUUUUAUGAACAAGAUCCGGAAUUAGCCUCUGAAAAUAUUUAUUUUUCUUGAAUUAUCUCAAGAGAAGAAAGAGAGAAGAAAUCGACAGGAAGAGAGAACACGAUUGAAUCUUUAUUGUUAAUCCAUGGAUAUAGAAAAGAAUCGAAGAGUCCUCGUCUCGAUACUUGUCGUCGUAGAAACGAGAUCACGGGUAUCAGAGUUUUCACAGAGUCCUAGGAAAAUAUUAUCGUAAGAGGGAAAGAAAGAAACGCGAUUUCCAAUUGGAGGAGCAGUUUCAACGUCGAGAAGAAACUCCUCCGUCCAUUUUCCAUCCUCUCGUGAAUCCGCCUCUCCCUUUCCCUCGCCGUACAGGUACGACUCGGGUCGACUAACUUUGCCUCGUUUGGAGCCCAUUCUUCCCCAUUCAUUCCCUGUGUCGUUUUCUCUCCGAGGACAAUCCACGGUGUCCUGGGGUCUCACGCCUCGGCAUUGACCGCUACCAUUCAUCGGUUCAUUCUCUUCCUUCGACAGCGACUCUUUGUCACCCCCCUCAGAGAUACGCGGCGGAGGGGAGGAGGGAAGAAUGUGGGGGAAGAAACCGUGAAAAAUAAAAGGAAGCCGAGUUUGCGGUGGAAAAAUGAGAAAAAGAAAGAAAGAGAGAGAGAGAUAGGGAGACGGCUCGAGCCGCGGAAUUAUGGAGCGUGGAGAGACGGGUAUUUUCUUGCGGUAUUCUAUUCAAUCGGCCGCUUACUGCGAUUCCAACCAUUCUCAGCUUCGAUGGUAGCAGCCACUUUGCCGAAAUCACGCCCUCCUUUUGACAAUGACAUCAAGAUUUAUCGAAAUCCCGCAGGGGAUUCUAUGUAUCGUUAUUUUUGCGCUCCUGUUCCCUUUGUAUCGUAUUUCCCGUGCAACCAAUAAACCUUGAUUACGCUUUAUCAGACUGGCUUGUCAUCGUCAUUAUCAAUGAAUGCCGAAAAUCAAGAGAAUAUUGUAAGCUUUGCGUGGUUAAGAUUCGUUUUCUUCGGGAUCGAGUUAAAAAAAGAUUGGUUAAAAUUGAAAUUGUAGAACAAAUAUUUCUUCCACUUUCAACCAGGGGCGCAUCGUCGCGUAAGAAGUAAACAGGAAUGUCGAGCGAAAAAAGAAACUCGUGCAAACAGUACGAAAGAAUUAUAGACAAUAUUUCAUUUAUUUUCAACGUUUCAUCGUGCAAGAGGUAACAGAAAUGUCGAUUAAAAG